AGCGAGGGGCUGAGGCUCGACCAUGGCUGUCGCCCGAGGGCGACCGAGAGUCAGGCUAGCUGGUGGGGGCGUGUGAGGGCGGCUUUGCCUCCGCCUCUGCUCACUUCCUUUCUCAGGAAUGGUGGGCGCCGUCCCCACCCCUCACUGGCAGUGACGGUGGACAACAAAGGGGCUCGGGGUGGCGGCCAGACAAAGAGUUGCAGCGCCGGGGGAAGUUGGGAACAAAGGUAGGGGGCUGGGAGCUUCAGGGAGACGCGCUACAAGAACCCCAAAGCAGAAAGUGCCUUUGUCUCCUGGGCUGCCCAAACUUGCGGAAAGCCGGGUGGUCCUACCUCACCCGCCGCCCACCUGGGCCUGAUCGGCCGCGCUGGGACGAUGCCCUCACCGCGCAUCCAGCUGAGAGGGAAACAGGUCGGACCUGGGCAGCGCCCGAGGGAAAGCCUGGGUAGCCAGCGGCCGGCAUGUAAAGGCCCCGCCUCCUCAAAGGAAAGGCUGCUGGCACAUGGGCUCACUGAGACUGAGGCUGUGAGAAUGCAUUCUGGGUAUAUGACCUCAAAGUCGGCCACAGAUAACAAUGUCCAGAGGACCAAGAUAACAGCUGCCUGCAGCCCUCCCUCCUCCUGGAAGACACUGGCCAGAUUACAGGGAGCACAGACAGUCCCUGUAAAUAGAAAGUGAACAGAAAAGAAGCAACCAGAUGAUUAAACACAUCCUCACUAAG
rnacentral:lncRNA from 1 species